AAAUUGAAGAGUUUGAUCAUGGCUCAGAUUGAACGCUGGCGGCAGGCCUAACACAUGCAAGUCGAACGGUAACAGGAAGCAGCUUGCUGCUUCGCUGACGAGUGGCGGACGGGUGAGUAAUGUCUGGGAAACUGCCUGAUGGAGGGGGAUAACUACUGGAAACGGUGGCUAAUACCGCAUAACGUCGCAAGACCAAAGAGGGGGACCUUCGGGCCUCUUGCCAUCAGAUGUGCCCAGAUGGGAUUAGCUUGUUGGUGAGGUAACGGCUCACCAAGGCGACGAUCCCUAGCUGGUCUGAGAGGAUGACCAGCCACACUGGAACUGAGACACGGUCCAGACUCCUACGGGAGGCAGCAGUGGGGAAUAUUGCACAAUGGGCGCAAGCCUGAUGCAGCCAUGCCGCGUGU
rnacentral:rRNA from 1 species